rnacentral:tRNA from 1 species
UAGCUCAGUGGUAGAGCGCUUGCCUUGCAUGCAUGAGGCUCUGGGUUAGAUCCCUCAG